GGGGUGCUAUACAUGCAAGUCGAAGCGGACAGAAGGGAAGCUUGCUCCCGGAUGUUAGCGGCGGACGGGUGAGUAACACGUGGGUAACCUGCCUGUAAGACUGGGAUAACUCCGGGAAACCGGAGCUAAUACCGGAUAGUUCCUUGAACCGCAUGGUUCAAGGAUGAAAGACGGUUUCGGCUGUCACUUACAGAUGGACCCGCGGCGCAUUAGCUAGUUGGUGGGGUAAUGGCUCACCAAGGCGACGAUGCGUAGCCGACCUGAGAGGGUGAUCGGCCACACUGGGACUGAGACACGGCCCAGACUCCUACGGGAGGCAGCAGUAGGGAAUCUUCCGCAAUGGACGAAAGUCUGACGGAGCAACGCCGCGUGAGUGAUGAAGGUUUUCGGAUCGUAAAGCUCUGUUGUUAGGGAAGAACAAGUGCGAGAGUAACUGCUCGCACCUUGACGGUACCUAACCAGAAAGCCACGGCUAACUACGUGCCAGCAGCCGCGGUAAUACGUAGGUGGCAAGCGUUGUCCGGAAUUAUUGGGCGUAAAGGGCUCGCAGGCGGUUUCUUAAGUCUGAUGUGAAAGCCCCCGGCUCAACCGGGGAGGGUCAUUGGAAACUGGGAAACUUGAGUGCAGAAGAGGAGAGUGGAAUUCCACGUGUAGCGGUGAAAUGCGUAGAGAUGUGGAGGAACACCAGUGGCGAAGGCGACUCUCUGGUCUGUAACUGACGCUGAGGAGCGAAAGC
rnacentral:rRNA from 1 species